rnacentral:rRNA from 1 species
UACAGAGGGUGCGAGCGUUAAUCGGAUUUACUGGGCGUAAAGCGUGCGUAGGCGGCCAAUUAAGUCAAAUGUGAAAUCCCCGAGCUUAACUUGGGAAUUGCAUUCGAUACUGGUUGGCUAGAGUAUGGGAGAGGAUGGUAGAAUUCUAGGUGUAGCGGUGAAAUGCGUAGAGAUCUGGAGGAAUACCGAUGGCGAAGGCAGCCAUCUGGCCUAAUACUGACGCUGAGGUGCGAAAGCAUGGGGAGCAAACAGGAUUAGAUACCCGGGUAGUCC